UUCUUAGUCUCUCAAAUUAAAGCUCGGCGACUGCAAUAUCAUAGUGGCGAUUCAGUGCGAGUGGCUUCAGAGAACGACUGGGAGGUCACUGUAGGGUUUACCUCUCGAAGGUUUCGAUUACGACUCCAUUCUUGGACAGUGCUGCGAGUCGCCGGUCGGAGACGAAGUAAUCUUUAUAGAGUUUAAGAAGCUCGAGUUUGUGGGUGGGUUGAAGAACUUUGAAUUUUUGGAGAAAGUCAAGUCCAGCUUGGUUCUCAAUUUGCACUCAAUUUAUACAUUCUUUUCCAUGAGUUGGUGGGUCGACUGGCUUCCUUGUUGUAUGGAGAGGAAAAAGUAAGA